UACAGAGGGUGCGAGCGUUGUUCGGAAUUAUUGGGCGUAAAGGGCGCGUAGGCGGUGCGGUAAGUCACCUGUGAAAUCUCCUGGCUCAACUGGGAGCUUGCAGGCGAAACUGCCGUGCUGGAGUGUGGGAGAGGUGCGUGGAAUUCCCGGUGUAGCGGUGAAAUGCGUAGAUAUCAAGAGGAACACCUGAGGUGAAGACGGGUUGCUGGGCCGACACUGACGCUGAGUGCGCGAAAGCCAGGGGAGCAAACGGG
rnacentral:rRNA from 1 species